rnacentral:rRNA from 1 species
UACAGAGGUCUCAAGCGUUGUUCGGAAUCACUGGGCGUAAAGGGUGCGUAGGCUGCAUGGUAAGUCAGAGGUGAAAUCCCGGAGCUCAACUUCGGAAUUGCCUCCGAUACUGCCGUGCUUGAGGACUGGAGAGGAGUCUGGAAUUCACAGUGGAGCAGUGAAAUGCGUAGAUAUUGUGAGGAACACUAGUGGCGAAGGCGAGACUCUGGACAGUUCCUGACGCUGAGGCACGAAGGCCAGGGGAGCAAACGGG